AUGCCGGACAGAAACAUCCUAGAAGGGGUUGUGGUCCUUCAUGAAACACUCCAUGAAAUCCAUACAAAAAAGCUGGAUGGGGUUGUUUUCAAAGUGGAUUUCGAAAAGGCGUACGAUAAAGUCAAAUGGCCAUUUCUGCAUCAGGCCUUGCGCAUGAAAGGUUUUGACCCGGCUUGGAGGCACCAGGUUGAAUCUUUCACGCAAAAAGGGAGUGUUGGAAUCAAAGUAAAUGACAACAUAGGUCACUAUUUCCAGACACAUAAGGGCCUGAGACAAGGAGAUCCGAUGUCACCUAUUCUGCUCAACAUUGUAGUCGACAUGUUGACCAUUCUAAUAGGUAGGGCAAAGGAUGUUGGUCAAGUAGGAAGCCCGGUACCUCAUCUAGUUGAUGGAGGGGUGUCUAUCCUACAGUACGCUGAUGAUACUAUCAUCUUCAUGGAGCAUGACUUGGCAAAAGCGAGAAACAUGAAGCUGGUGUUAUGCUUAUUCGAACAAUUGACCGGGUUAAAGAUUAACUUUCACAAAAGCGAAUUGUUUUGCUUUGGAAGAGCCAAAGAGGAACAAGAGGCAUACAAGCAAUUGUUUGGGUGUGAACUUGGGGCUUUACCUUCCACGUAUUUGGGUAUACCAAUUCACCAUCGUAAGCUAUCAAAUAGAGAAUGG
rnacentral:rRNA from 1 species